rnacentral:rRNA from 1 species
AGUGGCGGACGGGUGAGUAACGCGUGAGAAUCUGCCUUCUGGUCGGGGACAACCACUGGAAACGGUGGCUAAUACCGGAUGAGCCGAAGGGUAAAAGAUAAAUUGCCAGAAGAGGAGCUCGCGUCUGAUUAGCUAGUUGGUGGGGUAAAGGCUCACCAAGGCAUCGAUCAGUAGCUGGUCUGAGAGGACGAUCAGCCACACUGGGACUGAGACACGGCCCAGACUCCUACGGGAGGCAGCAGUGGGGAAUUUUCCGCAAUGGGCGAAAGCCUGACGGAGCAAUACCGCGUGAGGGAGGAAGGCUCUUGGGUUGUAAACCUCUUUUCUCAGGGAAGAAUGAUGACGGUACCUGAGGAAUAAGCAUCGGCUAACUCCGUGCCAGCAGCCGCGGUAAUACGGAGGAUGCAAGCGUUAUCCGGAAUGAUUGGGCGUAAAGCGUCCGCAGGUAGCAAUGUAAGUCUGCUGUCAAAGCGUCUGGCUCAACCAGAUAAAGGCAGUGGAAACUACAUAGCUAGAGUAAGGUAGGGGUAGAGGGAAUUCCUGGUGUAGCGGUGAAAUGCGUAGAGAUCAGGAAGAACACCGGUGGCGAAAGCGCUCUGCUGGACCUUAACUGACACUGAGGGACGAAAGCUAGGGGAGCGAAUGGGAUUAGAUACCCCAGUAGUCCUAGCCGUAAACGAUGGAUACUAGGCGUUGCCCGUAUCGACCCGGGCAGUGUCGUAGCUAACGCGUUAAGUAUCCCGCCUGGGGAGUACGCAGGCAACUGUGAAACUCAAAGGAAUUGACGGGGGCCCGCACAAGCGGUGGAGUAUGUGGUUUAAUUCGAUGCAACGCGAAGAACCUUACCAGGGCUUGACAUGUCCGGAAUCCUCUUGAAA